rnacentral:misc_RNA from 1 species
CAGUGCUGAUAGGUUGAACAGGUUUUGACAAAACCGUAGCGGUAUGGUAUGCAGACAACCUGCUCAAUCCUCAGCAUUUUCUGUUUGUGGACGGAGAUGAUAGCCGGGCCCUGCGCAACGGCAGGCUGUGAACUCCGCCAGGUCCGGAAGGAAGCAACGGCAGCGGCUGUCGCUGUGUGCCGCAGGUAAACCCGGCUAUCAUCUCCGUCCACAACUUAUUUGUACUG